rnacentral:rRNA from 1 species
CACUAUCGUUAACUGAAUACAUAGGUUAACGAGGCGAACCGGGGGAACUGAAACAUCUAAGUACCCCGAGGAAAAGAAAUCAACCGAGAUUCCCCCAGUAGCGGCGAGCGAACGGGGAGCAGCCCAGAGUCUGAAUCAGCUUGUGUGUUAGUGGAACGGUCUGGAAAGUCCGACGGUACAGGGUGAUAGUCCCGUACACCAAAAUGCACAGGCUGUGAACUCGAAGAGUAGGGCGGGACACGUGGUAUCCUGUCUGAAUAUGGGGGGACCAUCCUCCAAGGCUAAAUACUCCUGACUGACCGAUAGUGAACCAGUACCGUGAGGGAAAGGCGAAAAGAACCCCGGCGAGGGGAGUGAAAAAGAACCUGAAACCGUGUACGUACAAGCAGUGGGAGCACCUUCGGGUGUGACUGCGUACCUUUUGUAUAAUGGGUCAGCGACUUAUAUUCUGUAGCAAGGUUAACCGUAUAGGGGAGCCGCAGGGAAACCGAGUCUUAACUGGGCGUUAAGUUGCAGGGUAUAGACCCGAAACCCGGUGAUCUAGCCAUGGGCAGGUUGAAGGUUGGGUAACACUAACUGGAGGACCGAACCGACUAAUGUUGAAAAAUUAGCGGAUGACUUGUGGCUGGGGGUGAAAGGCCAAUCAAACCGGGAGAUAGCUGGUUCUCCCCGAAAGCUAUUUAGGUAGCGCCUCGUGAACUCAUCUUCGGGGGUAGAGCACUGUUUCGGCUAGGGGGUCAUCCCGACUUACCAACCCGAUGCAAACUACGAAUACCGAAGAAUGUUAUCACGGGAGACACACGGCGGGUGCUAACGUCCGUCGUGAAGAGGGAAACAACCCAGACCGCCAGCUAAGGUCCCAAAGUCAUGGUUAAGUGGGAAACGAUGUGGGAAGGCACAGACAGCCAGGAUGUUGGCUUAGAAGCAGCCAUCAUUUAAAGAAAGCGUAAUAGCUCACUGGUCGAGUCGGCCUGCGCGGAAGAUGUAACGGGGCUAAACCAUGCACCGAAGCUGCGGCAGCGACACUAUGUGUUGUUGGGUAGGGGAGCGUUCUGUAAGCCUGCGAAGGUGACCUGUGAGGGUUGCUGGAGGUAUCAGAAGUGCGAAUGCUGACAUAAGUAACGAUAAAGCGGGUGAAAAGCCCGCUCGCCGGAAGACCAAGGGUUCCUGUCCAACGUUAAUCGGGGCAGGGUGAGUCGACCCCUAAGGCGAGGCCGAAAGGCGUAGUCGAUGGGAAACAGGUUAAUAUUCCUGUACUUGGUGUUACUGCGAAGGGGGGACGGAGAAGGCUAUGUUAGCCGGGCGACGGUUGUCCCGGUUUAAGCAUGUAGGCUGGUUAUCCAGGCAAAUCCGGAUAAUCAAGGCUGAGGUGUGAUGACGAGGCACUACGGUGCUGAAGUAACAAAUGCCCUGCUUCCAGGAAAAGCCUCUAAGCAUCAGGUAACAUCAAAUCGUACCCCAAACCGACACAGGUGGUCAGGUAGAGAAUACCAAGGCGCUUGAGAGAACUCGGGUGAAGGAACUAGGCAAAAUGGUGCCGUAACUUCGGGAGAAGGCACGCUGGUGUGUAGGUGAAGCCCCUGCGGGUGGAGCUGAGACCAGUCGAAGAUACCAGCUGGCUGCAACUGUUUAUUAAAAACACAGCACUGUGCAAACACGAAAGUGGACGUAUACGGUGUGACGCCUGCCCGGUGCCGGAAGGUUAAUUGAUGGGGUUAUCCGUAAGGAGAAGCUCUUGAUCGAAGCCCCGGUAAACGGCGGCCGUAACUAUAACGGUCCUAAGGUAGCGAAAUUCCUUGUCGGGUAAGUUCCGACCUGCACGAAUGGCGUAAUGAUGGCCAGGCUGUCUCCACCCGAGACUCAGUGAAAUUGAACUCGCUGUGAAGAUGCAGUGUACCCGCGGCAAGACGGAAAGACCCCGUGAACCUUUACUAUAGCUUGACACUGAACAUUGAGCCUUGAUGUGUAGGAUAGGUGGGAGGCUUUGAAGCGUGGACGCCAGUCUGCGUGGAGCCAACCUUGAAAUACCACCCUUUAAUGUUUGAUGUUCUAACGUUGGCCCCUGACCGGGGUUGCGGACAGUGUCUGGUGGGUAGUUUGACUGGGGCGGUCUCCUCCCAAAGCGUAACGGAGGAGCACGAAGGUUAGCUAAUCCUGGUCGGACAUCAGGAGGUUAGUGCAAUGGCAUAAGCUAGCUUGACUGCGAGCGUGACGGCGCGAGCAGGUGCGAAAGCAGGUCAUAGUGAUCCGGUGGUUCUGAAUGGAAGGGCCAUCGCUCAACGGAUAAAAGGUACUCCGGGGAUAACAGGCUGAUACCGCCCAAGAGUUCAUAUCGACGGCGGUGUUUGGCACCUCGAUGUCGGCUCAUCACAUCCUGGGGCUGAAGUAGGUCCCAAGGGUAUGGCUGUUCGCCAUUUAAAGUGGUACGCGAGCUGGGUUUAGAACGUCGUGAGACAGUUCGGUCCCUAUCUGCCGUGGGCGCUGGAGAAUUGAGGGGGGCUGCUCCUAGUACGAGAGGACCGGAGUGGACGCAUCACUGGUGUUCGGGUUGUCAUGCCAAUGGCACUGCCCGGUAGCUAAAUGCGGAAGAGAUAAGUGCUGAAAGCAUCUAAGCACGAAACUUGCCCCGAGAUGAGUUCUCCCUGAGACUUUAAGUCUCCUGAAGGAACGUUAAAGACGAUGACGUUGAUAGGCCGGGUGUGUAAGCGCAGCGAUGCGUUGAGCUAACCGGUACUAAUGAACCGUGAGGCUUAACCUUACAACGCCGAAG